UGGGGAAUAUUGCACAAUGCGCGCAAGCCUGAUGCAGCCAUGCCGCGUGUAUGAAGAAGGCCUUCGGGUUGUAAAGUACUUUCAGCGAGGAGGAAGGCGGUAAGGUUAAUAACCUUAUCGAUUGACGUUACUCGCAGAAGAAGCACCGGCUAACUCCGUGCCAGCAGCCGCGGUAAUACGGAGGGUGCAAGCGUUAAUCGGAAUUACUGGGCGUAAAGCGCACGCAGGCGGUCUGUCAAGUCGGAUGUGAAAUCCCCGGGCUCAACCUGGGAACUGCAUUCGAAACUGGCAGGCUAGAGUCUUGUAGAGGGGGGUAGAAUUCCAGGUGUAGCGGUGAAAUGCGUAGAGAUCUGGAGGAAUACCGGUGGCGAAGGCGGCCCCCUGGACAAAGACUGACGCUCAGGUGCGAAAGCGUGGGGAGCAAACA
rnacentral:rRNA from 1 species